AGCGAACGCUGGCGGCAGGCCUAACACAUGCAAGUCGAGCGGCCGUAGCAAUACGGCAGCGGCAGACGGGAGAGUAACACGUGGGAACGCGCCCUUCGGUUCGGAAUAACUCAGGGAAACUUGGGCUAAUACCGGAUACGCCCUUACGGGGAAAGAUUUAUUGCCGAGGGAACGGCCCGCGUCCGAUUAGCUUGUUGGUGAGGUAACGGCUCACCAAGGCGACGCUCGGUAGCUGGUCUGAGAGGAUGACCAGCCUCACUGGGACUGAGACACGGCCCAGACUCCUACGGGAGGCAGCAGUGGGGAAUAUUGGACAAUGGGCGCAAGCCUGAUCCAGCCAUGCCGCGUGGGUGAUGAAGGCCCUAGGGUUGUAAAGCCCUUUCGGCGGGGAAGAUAAUGACGGUACCCGCAGAAGAAGCCCCGGCUAACUUCGUGCCAGCCGCCGCCGUAA
rnacentral:rRNA from 1 species